rnacentral:rRNA from 1 species
UACGGAGGGUGCAAGCGUUAGUCGGAAUUACUGGGCGUAAAGGGUGCGUGGGCGGGGAUAUAAGUCAGAUGUGAAAUACUGAAGCUCAACUUCAGCUGUGCAUCUGAAACUGUAUUUCUAGAGGAAGAGCGGAGAAAACGGAAUUCCACGUGUAGCGGUGAAAUGCGUAGAUAUGUGGAAGAACACCAGUGGCGAAGGCGAUUUUCUAGUUUAUUCCUGACGCUAAUGCGCGAAAGCAAGGGGAGCAAACAGG